rnacentral:rRNA from 1 species
AACGAACGCUGGCGGCAGGCCUAACACAUGCAAGUCGAGUGAGGACUUCGGUCCUAGCGGCGGACGGGUGAGUAACGCGUGGGAACGUGCCCUUUGCUACGGAAUAGCCCCGGGAAACUGGGAGGAAUACCGUAUGUGCCCUUCGGGGGAAAGAUUUAUCGGCAAAGGAUCGGCCCGCGUUGGAUUAGGGAGUUGGUGGGGUAAUGGCCUACCAAGCCGACGAUCCAUAGCUGGUUUGAGAGGAUGAUCAGCCGCACUGGGACUGAGACACGGCCCAGACUCCUACGGGAGGCAGCAGUGGGGAAUCUUAGACAAUGGGGGAAACCCUGAUCUAGCCAUGCCGCGUGAGCGAUGAAGGCCUUAGGGUUGUAAAGCUCUUUCAGUGGGGAAGAUAAUGACGGUACCCACAGAAGAAGCCCCGGCUAACUCCGUGCCAGCCGCCGCAGUAAGAC